UGCGCAGGUGGGCUUGUAAGUCAGUGGUGAAAUACUGCCGCUUCACGGUAGAACUGCCAUUGAUACUGCAAGUCUUGAGUAUGGUUGAGGUAGGCGGAAUGUGUUGUGUAGCGGUGAAAUGCAUAGAUAUGACACAGAACUCCAAUUGCGAAGGCAGCUUACUAAGCCAUUACUGACGCUGAGGCACGAAAGCGUGGGGAGCGAACAGGAUUAGAUACCCUGGUAGUCC
rnacentral:rRNA from 1 species